UUAUUUUCUGCACCACAGAGCUUGUCAAACAUGUUGCUGCUGUAAUUUCACAGGAACUUUAAUCCAAAGUCUCAGAUGUGAUCCGACGAGAGUAAAGUGCAGUUUUCCUCCGCUCCUCAAGGCGGCAGAAGCGGGUUCUCCUUCAGUCUGACGCUUCUGCUGCUUGACAACAUGACACUUGAUGACAAUCACAACAACGCGAGAAGAUACUGCAGAUAGGAAGAUGACAGCUCUUAAUGUCACUUUAACAGCACAUAUUACAGCUCAACCGCAAAUAAAACCGACGCAAUCAAACGACACAUAAAUGAGGAACCGAGUACGGCACAAGACUCACCUAAGGAAUGUGUUUGGACCAUUACAUCCAGUCAUCAGAAGCAGAGCUGUGGGACGUGUGGACAGACAUUGACUGUAAUGAUGGACGUCUGCUGAUGGACAGCAUAACCCCUGCUGCUGACUGUCCCGGAAGCUCCGGGGGGAGACCGUACUGGUAUCCCCCUCCUUUGGGCGCACCACUCACACAACAUCCACUCCUAUCGCGGAGAUCUGGCUGGGAUCAAACCAGCAACCUCUGAACCCGUGAGGCAGCGCUCUUACCUGUGAGCCACAGAUCUCGUGCUGGUGAUGUGCUGGAACUUAUAUUUCAGUGUUAUCCUGAGAGUUUCCAAUAAAGCAGUUAAAGUGAGAUUCGAACCCACGUCUUCAUCAGUCUUGUCCUGAGAGAGUGUGUGUUUAUCCGCUCGCCCAUCAUGGAUUUCACGUUGACAGCUGGUUUUGGGGCCCCUUGUCUAAUGAGAACUAUUGAAAGUCAGCAAUAGUGGGACUUGAACUCAGGACGCUGUGAUUGAAACACAACUCUUUCUCUCCUGAGCCACUGAGACUGCUGAGAUGAAGAGCGUUUUCAACCGGUUUGAUCCAGAGUUGUGUGUUAAAUGAUGAAUAACUUCAACAAACAUGGAUCUGAAACCUGGGAUUUGAACCAGGACUCUCUGGUUGGUGAGGUUGACAACUAUCCACUGAGCCGCAGAGACUGUGAAUCAAUGAUGUUGUUUUAGAUUUCAAGUUUAAGGUUCUUAGCGUAUGUUAAAGAUUAUUGUCAUUGAUUAAUAAUUCAUUGACUACUCAGAUCUAUUCUUUAUAAAAUGAUUUUAUUUUUAAGUUAUUCUUUGUAUCAACUGUAUCAGUGUGCGUGUUGUGUCCUAUCGUCUGUCUAUAUAAAUAUACAUGCAAAAAAAGUCAGAUCUAAAAUUAUUUUCGCCCUCCUGUGGUGAUUUGUGUGAAUUACACUAUUGCAAAUCAAGUCUAAUAAACGUAAGAGUGUCGCCCUCCUGUGGUGAUUUGUGUGAAUUACACCGCUGCAAA